rnacentral:misc_RNA from 1 species
GAUGAAGAACGUAGCGAAAUGCGAUAAGUAAUGUGAAUUGCAGAAUUCAAUGAAUCAUCGAAUCUUUGAACGCACAUUGCGCCCGCCAGUAUUCUGGCGGGCAUGCCUGUUCGAGCGUCAUUUCAACCCUCAAGCCCCCGGGCUUGGUGUUGGGGAUCGGCGUGCCCUCGCGGCGCGCCGUCCCCUAAAUCUAGUGGCGGUCUCGCUGUAGCUUCCUCUGCGUAGUAGCAACACUCGCACUGGAUCGCAGCGCGGCCACGCCGUUAAACCCCCCACUUCUGAAAGUUUGACCUCGGAUCAGGUAGGAAUACCCGCUGAACUUAAGCAUAUCAAUAAGCGGAGGA